rfam:Pyramidobacter piscolens W5455 contig00056, whole genome shotgun sequence.
AUUCGAGGAAAUUUUUAUUGUAAAAUAAGAAGUCAUGAUAUGCAGUUUCAGCCCGGGGAAUUUGGUGAAAGACCAAAGCGGCCCCGCCACUGUGAGCGUUUUGCGCGCGAGUCAGGAUACCGGCCUGAAACGGGGGAACAGA